UGCUAGUCGGAUACUAUGUGUAAGAGAUA
rnacentral:piRNA from 1 species